rnacentral:rRNA from 1 species
GACGAACGCUGGCGGCGUGCUUAACACAUGCAAGUCGAGCGGUAAGGCCCUUUCGGGGGUACACGAGCGGCGAACGGGUGAGUAACACGUGGGUGACCUGCCCUUAGCUCUGGGAUAAGCCUGGGAAACUGGGUCUAAUACCGGAUAUGACUCCAUGACGCAUGUUGUGGGGUGGAAAGCCUUGUGCGGCUAGGGAUGGGCCCGCGGCCUAUCAGCUUGUUGGUGGGGUGAUGGCCUACCAAGGCGACGACGGGUAGCCGGCCUGAGAGGGCGACCGGCCACACUGGGACUGAGACACGGCCCAGACUCCUACGGGAGGCAGCAGUGGGGAAUCUUGCGCAAUGGGCGAAAGCCUGACGCAGCGACGCCGCGUGAGGGAUGACGGCCUCGGUGUAA